GCUUGAACCGGGGAGACAGAGGUUGCGGUGAGCCAAGAUCAAGCCAUUGCACUCCAGCCUGGGCAACAAGAGCGAAACUCCAUCUCAAAAAAAAUAAAUAAAUAAAAACAAAUAUAGGUCAUAUGAUAUGCUGAAUGGGAUCCUGGAACAGAAAAUGUACUUUAGGUAAAAACUAACAAAAUCUGAAUAAAGUUUGGACUUCAGCUAAUGAUACUAAUAGUAUACCAAUAUUAGUUCACUAAUUAUAACAAAUGUGCUACGCGAAUGUAAGGUGUUAAUAACAGGGAAAACAGGGUGUGGGGUAUAUGGAAGCUCUCUGUACUGUCUUCUCAACUUUGCACUAGAGGUUCUAACCAGUGUAAUGAGGCAAAGAGAUAGAGAAGGAGGGAGGAGGAGAGAAGGGCAGCCGAGAAGGGUACAGAAGGAAAGAAAUUAAAGGCAUGUACGCUGGGGAGGAAGAGGUAAAACUGUUUUUUAUAGUCAAUACAGCCUGUAUAGAAUUCUAAGGAAUACACACACACACACACACACACACACACACCCCUACUAGAUUUAAUAAACAAGUUCACCAAGGUCACAGAAUAUGAUCAAUAUACAAAAGUCAGUUGUAUUUCUACAUACUAGGAACCAUCUGAAAAUAAAACUAAAAAAACUGUUAUAUUCACACUAGCAUGAAAAAUGAAUAAAAUAGGAAUAAAUUUAGCAAGAAAGUUCAAGAUGUGUACACUAAAACUAUGAAAUAUUGCUGAGAGAAAUCAAAGAAGGUCUAAAUAAAUGGAGAGGCAUUACAUGCUAAUGGAUAGGAAGACUCAAUAUUGUUAAGAUGGCAACACUACCUAGUCAUCUCAGAUUCAAUGCAAACCCUAGCAGAAAUCCCAGCAGACACUUUUGCAGAAAUUGUCAAGCUGAUUUUAAAACUUAUAUGGAAAUGCAAAGGAUCUGGAGUACCCAAAACAACACUGAAAAAUAACAAAGUUGAAGACUUACAUCUCCCAUUUUCAAAACUUAUUAUGAAACUGUAGUAACCAAGACAGGUUGGUGUAAAAAUAGGACUAAACAUGAAUGAAGGUAAAUUAAGAGUCAAGAAAUCCUAUGCUCAUGUUCAAUUAAUUUUCAACAAAAACACCAAGGCAAUUCCAUUGGAAAAAGAUGGCCUUUUCAACAAAUGGUGCUGGGUGCUUUUGGGGGCAAUGGAAAUGUUCAAAAUCUAAUUCUGGUGAUGGUUGUACCACUCUAUUAAGUUUAUUAAUAGUUAUUUAACUUAAACUUAAAAUGGGGGAAUUUAUGAUGUAUAAAUUAUGCCACAAUAAAGCUGUUAAACAAAAAAGGCACUUCCUAAAAGUUGAAAGUGAACCAAAGCAAACACUGAAACAUUUAUCUUUAAUGAUCUAAAACUCAGCGUUGUUGCUGGGCAUGGUGGCACGUGCCUGUAGUCUCAGCUACUUCAGGCUGAGGCAGGAAGAUCCCUUAAGCCCAGGAGUUUAAGUCCAGCCUGGGCAACAGUGAGACCCCCCAUGUCUAAAUUUAAAAAACAAACACAAAAAACUUUCUGUACACUCCCUAGUAGAAGAUCCUGGGAAACAACAACAACAACAACAAAAACCUUUAAAAAGCUUAAACUGUUUUCAGUAAGCAUAUUGUUUGUAGUAGUACUGGUAUAGUUUUUCUAAGACUUCUGUGUGUGCUGAUCAAGUAAAUAAGUGAUCAUAUUGGUGUGGUUGAAAAUGAGAACACUCAAAGUGGAGGACUAGGAUACAAAUGUAAGAUCAACUGGGCUAAAUAAAAACUUAUGGUCCUGAAUUGGAAUCGAAAGUAACAGUAUAAACAACUGAUGUAUUUUAUCUUAAACAUUUUUUCAACUUUGUCUACUAAAAGUCCUAGUGAAAAAUGACCUACCCAGUAUUUAUGAGCCCCCUAGCACCCAAACUGUGGUCUCUAAUACGAUUUUCCACUGAAAAGAACCAAUGCUUCUUGAAGAAGUGAUCGAUUCUAGAUCUGUGAUACAAAAUGUACCAGAUAAGUCAUGAAAUGUUUGUCUAACCACAAAGAAAAGAAACUACCAAAAACUACUAGCGUCAUGUCCAAAAGAACUGAGGUGCCACCAACUUGACUAGAUUCCCACUGGUCAAAGAUGGAACAACUAAGUAAGCAUCAAAAAGAAUAAUAACCGCAAUCGACUGAAACACUUUCAGUAUGCUUAAGUCUCCGGCUUUAUAAUGACACUAAAAAACAAAACAAAACCCACUGGUUGCCUUGGAACGAUGCUGGGAAAUCAACUCAUUAUUUUGAAAAAUGGUAGAAUUAAACAUUCAUCUUGCCUUACAUAUUCAAAUUAAAUGUUAGAAUAACUGAAUGGUUUAAAAGGAGAAGUUUAUCUUUAGAGAAAUGAUCCAGGUAAUAAAGCAAGAAGGAAAGGUGAAAUUAGAAAAUCACCAUUUUGGGCUGGGCGUGGUGGCUCACGCCUGUAAUCUUAGCACUUUGGGAGGCCGAGGCCGGUGGAUCACGAGGUCAGGAAUUCAAAACCAGCCUGGCCAACAUGGCAAAACCCCGUCUCUACUAAACACAAAAAACAAAAACUAGGCAGGCGUGGUGGCUACUUGGGAGGCUGAGGCAGGAGAAUCACUUGAAGCCAGGAAGUGGAGAUUGCAGUGAGCUGAGAUCGUACCACUGCACUGCAGCCUGGGCAACAGGGCGAGACUCCAUCUCAAAAAAAAAAAAAAAAAAAAAGAAAGAAAAAGAAAAGAAGAUCACCAUUUUACAAUUUUACAACCCUAAUGAAAUAAUGAAUUUGUGCAAUAAUUAUCAAAGACUGCUAACAUCCAGAAGAGAGAAAUAAUCACACAACAUGGCAUCCUAUCUGAAGUACACAACACCCUCUAUGAUGUAUGUGCUAAAAAAAAAUUUAACCUCAAUCUGAUCGGGCCUCCAAACCCAAUUUACAGGAAAUAAGGGGCAGAGGGACAUGUUAAAUAGCACUACAAUGAUGCAGUUGACAAAAUCUAGACUUUUGGAAAUUCUAAAGACAAAGACACAUUUCUACACUGAAAAAAAAGCGUGGAAAAAUGAGAGGGCAAACCAAUAGAUUAAAAGAGACUGAAAAGACAACCAAUCACAGCCCACGAGCCCUAAUAAAAUUCUGAUGCAAACAAACCAUUUAAAAUACAUAAAUGCUCUAAACCUGGAUUGUGGCGAUGUUUGCACAACUGUUUAAAUUUACUAACAAUAGGCCGGCGUGGUGGCUCACGCCUGUAAUCCCAACACUUUGGGAGGCCGAGGCAGGUGGAUCACAAGGUCAAGAGAUGGAGACCAUCCUGGCCAGCAUGGUGAAAUCCCAUCUCUACUAAAAAUAGAAAAAUUAGCUGGGCAUGGUGGCGCACACUUGUAGUCCCAGCUACUGGGGAGGCUGAGGCAGGAGAAUGGCUUGAACCCGGGAGGCAGAGGUUACAGUUAGCCGAGAUUGCACCACUGCACUCCAGCCUGGAGACAGAGCAAGAUUAUGUCUCAAAGAAAAAAAAAUUACUAACAAUCAAACGGUAUAUUUACAAUGGGUGAAGUUUACAGCUUGUAAAUUAUACCUCAAUAAAACUGUGUCAGGCUAUCAGGGAAAUAUGAAGACUAAUGAACAAUAAGGAAUUAUUGUUGAUUUUUAAGGCAUUAUCAUAUUGUGGUUUUUUUUAAAAUACUUCUUAUCUUUUAAAGACAAAUACUGAAGUAUUUACAAAUAUUUGCAGAUAAUUCAAAGCAUUUGUUUCCAAACAUUCUGGUGUGGAGGCGAUGGGGACAAAAGGUAAUGAGCACACAGGCAUUAUUACACUAUUCUACAUUUGUGCACAUUCGAAAUGUUCCCUAAUAAAAAGUGGAGCGGCUGGGCGCGGUGGCUCACAGCUGUAAUUCCAGCACUUUGGGAGGCCAAGGCAUGCAGAACAUCUGAGGUCAGGAGUUCAAGACCAGCCUGGCCAACACGGUGAAACCCUGUCUCUAAUAAAAAUACAAAAAUUAGCCAGGCGUGGUGGCACGGCCUGUGGUCCCAGCUACUCGGGAGGCUGAGGCAGAAGAAUUGCUUCGCCGCACUGCAGCCUGGGUGACAGAGCAAAACUCCUUCUCAAAAAUAAAAAAAUAAAUAAAUAAUAGUAGAGCAUUAAAAGACAAUUUGAAAACAAGAAAAGAGAAACAGUAAGGAAGAGAGAAAGGCUUUUAAUUAAUUACUUUGCUCUCUCUUAAUUAUUUAGCUCUCAGCUUUCUACCUUUGCUAUUAACACAAUUGAUGUGUGGAAAUAGAUGGCAUAUAAAUAAUAAUAAAUAAAUUUUUAUAAUAAUAUAAAAACCAAAUAACCAUAACUUACGUCCCGCGUCUUCAAACCCAUACAGAGCGUGGAACUGCUGCCUCCCAUCCCUGGGAUGUUGCAAAGGAAAUGGAAACCAACCACCAACACAAGGAUAUGACCCACACAUGGGAGAGGACGUGCUGAGCAGGGAUCUGGAGGUGUUUUAGUCAUGGUUUGUGACCACUGUGGUGCUGCACACAGCCUGUGCCUUGGCAUCCCACCACCAUUUAUAACAGUCAACCCAGUGAAAUCAGAUCCAUUAAACAGCUUAUUUUUAAAGAAAAUACUUUACAUUGCUGCACACGGCUGGGCGAGGUGGCUCACACCUGUAAUCCCAACACUUUGGGAGGCCGAGGCAGGUGGAUCACUUGAGGCCAGGAGUUCGAGACCAACCUGGCCAACAUGGUGAAACUCCGUCUCUACUAAAAAUACAAAAAAUUAGCCAGGUGUGGUGGCGUGUGCCUGUAGUCUCAGCUGCUCAAGAGGCUGAGGCAGAAGAAUUGCUUGAACCCAGGAGGUCAAGGUUGCAGCGAGCCGAGAUCGCGCCACUGCACUUCAGCCUGGGCAACAGAACGAGACUCCGUCUCAAAAAUAAAUAAAUAAAUAAAUGGUUGCAUGAACAUCAAAGCUUACAUAUUCACGAGUAAUGUUAUUUAAGUUUACACUAAAAAUGGGUGAAUUUAUGAUAUGUAAAUUAUACUUCAAUGAAGCUGUUAAACAAAAAAGGCACUUCCUAAAAAUUGAAAGUGACACCUGUCAGGUGAGUAACAGGUUUUUUCAUAUCUGAGUGUGGAUAUCAGUCGCUUGCUCUGGACACAGAGCCAAAGAAAAUGCUGAACACAUUCUCUGGAUUUAUCUGAGUGACGCAACAUAGCAUGGUGGUAAAGAACGUGGCCUUCGGGGUUGGACAGAUGGGCUGUGUUCAGCAAGCUUAAGUAAAUGCUUAACCUUUCCAAUCCCAGACUCCUCUUCAGGAAAACAGGAAUAAAAACACCUUCCUUGCAGGACAGAUGCAGGGAUUAAAUGAGGUAAUGCAGUAAAGUUUGGCAUCUAAGAUUUCAACCCAAACCAGUGGCUAUGAUGGCUUCUAACACCAAGGCUUGCACAAGGAGACUGAACAAAAGGGGGACUUGCAGCGUGUUUCACUGGCCAAAAAAAAUUAAAAAUAGGCCGGGCACGGUGCCUCAUGCCUGUAAUCCCAGCACUUUGGGAGGCCAAGGUGGGCAGAUCACGAAGUCAGGAGUUCAAGACCAGCUUGACCAAAAUGGUGAAAUCCCAUCUCUACUAAAAAUACAAAAAUUAGCAGGCGUGGUGGCACAUGCCUGUAAUCCCAGCUACUCAGGAGGCUGAGGCAG
rnacentral:lncRNA from 10 species